rnacentral:rRNA from 1 species
GAUGAACGCUGGCGGCGUGCUUAACACAUGCAAGUCGAGCGGAAAGGCCCUGCUUUUGUGGGGUGCUCGAGUGGCGAGCGGGUGUGUGACACGUGAGUAUCCCGCCCUUGACUUUGUGAUAACUUCAGGAAACUGGGGCUAAUACCGGGUAGGAGCUCCUGCUGCAUGGUGGUGGUUGGAAAGUUUCGGCGGUUUUGGAUAGACUCGAGGCUUAUCAGCUAGUUGGUGGGGUAGGUGCAUACAAGGGCUUUGACGGGUAGCCGGCCUGAGAGGGGGACCGGGCACAUUGCGACUGAGAGACGCAGCAGUCUCCAACGUGAGGCAGCAGGCGAGAGUAUGGCGCAACGGGGGGAAGCCUGAUGCAGCAACCCCGCGUGCGGGAUGACGUCCUUCGGGUUGUAAACCGCUUUCGCCUGUGACGAAGCGGUAGUGACGGUAAUGGGUAAAGAAGCACCGGCUAACUACGUG